rnacentral:rRNA from 1 species
GGUUAAGCGACUAAGCGUACACGGUGGAUGCCCUGGCAGUCAGAGGCGAUGAAGGACGUGCUAAUCUGCGAUAAGCGUCGGUAAGGUGAUAUGAACCGUUAUAACCGGCGAUUUCCGAAUGGGGAAACCCAGUGUGUUUCGACACACUAUCAUUAACUGAAUCCAUAGGUUAAUGAGGCGAACCGGGGGAACUGAAACAUCUAAGUACCCCGAGGAAAAGAAAUCAACCGAGAUUCCCCCAGUAGCGGCGAGCGAACGGGGAGCAGCCCAGAGCCUGAAUCAGUGUGUGUGUUAGUGGAAGCGUCUGGAAAGGCGCGCGAUACAGGGUGACAGCCCCGUACACAAAAAUGCACAUGCUGUGAGCUCGAUGAGUAGGGCGGGACACGUGGUAUCCUGUCUGAAUAUGGGGGGACCAUCCUCCAAGGCUAAAUACUCCUGACUGACCGAUAGUGAACCAGUACCGUGAGGGAAAGGCGAAAAGAACCCCGGCGAGGGGAGUGAAAAAGAACCUGAAACCGUGUACGUACAAGCAGUGGGAGCACAGAGCAAUCUGUGUGACUGCGUACCUUUUGUAUAAUGGGUCAGCGACUUAUAUUCUGUAGCAAGGUUAACCGAAUAGGGGAGCCGAAGGGAAACCGAGUCUUAACUGGGCGUUAAGUUGCAGGGUAUAGACCCGAAACCCGGUGAUCUAGCCAUGGGCAGGUUGAAGGUUGGGUAACACUAACUGGAGGACCGAACCGACUAAUGUUGAAAAAUUAGCGGAUGACUUGUGGCUGGGGGUGAAAGGCCAAUCAAACCGGGAGAUAGCUGGUUCUCCCCGAAAGCUAUUUAGGUAGCGCCUCGUGAAUUCAUCUCCGGGGGUAGAGCACUGUUUCGGCAAGGGGGUCAUCCCGACUUACCAACCCGAUGCAAACUGCGAAUACCGGAGAAUGUUAUCACGGGAGACACACGGCGGGUGCUAACGUCCGUCGUGAAGAGGGAAACAACCCAGACCGCCAGCUAAGGUCCCAAAGUCAUGGUUAAGUGGGAAACGAUGUGGGAAGGCCCAGACAGCCAGGAUGUUGGCUUAGAAGCAGCCAUCAUUUAAAGAAAGCGUAAUAGCUCACUGGUCGAGUCGGCCUGCGCGGAAGAUGUAACGGGGCUAAACCAUGCACCGAAGCUGCGGCAGCGACGCUUAUGCGUUGUUGGGUAGGGGAGCGUUCUGUAAGCCUGCGAAGGUGUGCUGUGAGGCAUGCUGGAGGUAUCAGAAGUGCGAAUGCUGACAUAAGUAACGAUAAAGCGGGUGAAAAGCCCGCUCGCCGGAAGACCAAGGGUUCCUGUCCAACGUUAAUCGGGGCAGGGUGAGUCGACCCCUAAGGCGAGGCCGAAAGGCGUAGUCGAUGGGAAACAGGUUAAUAUUCCUGUACUUGGUGUUACUGCGAAGGGGGGACGGAGAAGGCUAUGUUGGCCGGGCGACGGUUGUCCCGGUUUAAGCGUGUAGGCUGGUUUUCCAGGCAAAUCCGGAAAAUCAAGGCUGAGGCGUGAUGACGAGGCACUACGGUGCUGAAGCAACAAAUGCCCUGCUUCCAGGAAAAGCCUCUAAGCAUCAGGUAACAUCAAAUCGUACCCCAAACCGACACAGGUGGUCAGGUAGAGAAUACCAAGGCGCUUGAGAGAACUCGGGUGAAGGAACUAGGCAAAAUGGUGCCGUAACUUCGGGAGAAGGCACGCUGAUAUGUAGGUGAAGUCCCUCGCGGAUGGAGCUGAAAUCAGUCGAAGAUACCAGCUGGCUGCAACUGUUUAUUAAAAACACAGCACUGUGCAAACACGAAAGUGGACGUAUACGGUGUGACGCCUGCCCGGUGCCGGAAGGUUAAUUGAUGGGGUUAGCGCAAGCGAAGCUCUUGAUCGAAGCCCCGGUAAACGGCGGCCGUAACUAUAACGGUCCUAAGGUAGCGAAAUUCCUUGUCGGGUAAGUUCCGACCUGCACGAAUGGCGUAAUGAUGGCCAGGCUGUCUCCACCCGAGACUCAGUGAAAUUGAACUCGCUGUGAAGAUGCAGUGUACCCGCGGCAAGACGGAAAGACCCCGUGAACCUUUACUAUAGCUUGACACUGAACAUUGAGCCUUGAUGUGUAGGAUAGGUGGGAGGCUUUGAAGUGUGGACGCCAGUCUGCAUGGAGCCGACCUUGAAAUACCACCCUUUAAUGUUUGAUGUUCUAACGU